UGAGCUUGGCACUUGUGAGGGCUAUCAUCGUCCUGGAAGUCAGCCCUGAAGUGACUAAUCUUGUCGGCUAUUUGUACAACUUGCUUUCUUCCUGCCUGUCUCAUUUCUCAGAGGGGGACGUAGGAAUAAGUUCCCAUCAGUCUAAUGAGUAUAAGAAAUGGUACAUCUCGAGAUAGAACAAUUAAUUCUUCUGUAGGGAACCACUCGAACAUCCAGUGCACUUGGUCUUCUUUCAGAUUUACAAACAACUCUACCUAUCCUCUAGCGUCCUCUGGCUAAGCGAACAUGUUAGGCAUAUAAUUCAUAUGCCUUGGCAGAAGGAAGGCGAUGUGAUCAUCCCAGUCUCUG
rnacentral:lncRNA from 1 species